CUAUCGCUGCCAACCUAUCUAUCGCUGCCAACCUAUCUAUCGCUGCCAAUUUAUCUACCACUGCCAAUCUAUCUAUUGCUGCUAAUCUAUCGCUGCUGUCAAUCUAUCUAUCGCUGCCAAUCUAUCUUUCGCUGCUAAUCUAUCGCCGCUGCCAAUCUAUCUUUCGCUGCUAAUCUAUCGCCGCUGCCAAUCUAUCUUUCGCUGCUAAUCUAUCGCCGCUGCCAAUCUAUCUUUCGCUGCUAAUCUAUCGCCGCUGCCAAUCUAUCCCUCGCUGCUAAGCUAUCCCUCGCUGCUAAGCUAUCCCUCACUACUAAGCUAUCUAUCACUGCUAAUCUAUCGCUGCCAACCUAUCUAUCACUGCCAAUCUAUCUAUCGCUGCUAAUCUAUCGCUGCUAAUCUAUCGCUGCUAAUCUAUCGCUGCUAAUCUAUCGCUGCUAAUCUAUCGCUGCCAACCUAUCUACCGCGGCGAAUCUAUCUAUCACUAUCAUUACUAGUUCAAAAUAGAACUAGAGCAUAAAUACACUAAACUUCUUUUGAUAGGUAAUGAUUUUUGGUAACGCUCAUAGCAUUAUAUCAUCUAUAUAGGGUAAAUCAUGGUCCCAUUUGGUCCCAUUUUGUUAAAAUGGGACCAAAUGGGACCAGAAUCAGUAAUUUAUAAGAAGAACAUGACCUGGGACUAGAUUUAUAAUAUAAACAGUGUAAAGUGACUAAUUUAAUAAACACUAUAUGGGACCAGGACUAAGAAAUUUGAUAAUGGGACUGGCGAAAUAUUUAGUCCCAGUCCCAUGCAUGGUCACACAGCC
rnacentral:sRNA from 1 species